CCUACGGGCGGCUGCAGUGGGGAAUAUUGCACAAUGGGGGAAACCCUGAUGCAGCGACGCCGCGUGAGUGAAGAAGUAUCUCGGUACGUAAAGCUCUAUCAGCAGGGAAGAAAAUGACGGUACCUGACUAAGAAGCCCCGGCUAACUACGUGCCAGCAACCGCGGUAAUACGUAGGGGGCAAGCGUUAUCCGGAUUUACUGGGUGUAAAGGGAGCGUAGGCGGCAGGACAAGGCCGGAGGGAAAUCCCGGGGCUUAACCCCGGAACUGCUUUGGAAACUGUGCGGCUGGAGUGCAGGAGGGGUAAGCGGAAUGCCUGGUGUAGCGGUGAAAUGCGUAGAUAUUAGGAGGAACACCGGUGGCGAAGGCGGCUUACUGGACUGUAACUGACGUUGAGGCUCGAAAGCGUGGGGAGCAAACAGGAUUAGAUACCCUUGUAGUC
rnacentral:rRNA from 1 species